GAAUAUGCUUCUUCACAUUCUGUCACUCUUUCAUCCAAAUCCCUAUCAACCAGCCUCUCAUUUGAUACCAUACAAGAUUUUUUUUUUCUUUGCCAUUAAUUUUCUUGCUUUCUUUCUAUUGUUAAUGCCUUUCUUUUUUCAUGUUUCAUUGCUUAUUUUAGAAUGUCUAAGGUUUUAGCAGUCAAAAUUGAGCAGAAUGAAGAAAAAUGAUCCUCAUAACUGAUCUCAACUAGAUCAGGAUUAAAGUUCAGUUGAGUUUAGAAGUCAAAAUGGUAUCCUAUAUCUCACAAAAAAAAUGGUCUCCUAUAUAAUAGCACAAAAUAAUCUUGAUAAAAAAUUAUUUAUGAACUUUUUUUCUAUUUUCUUUGUCAAGUGCUUAUGUCCAAACUAAACAUGAUGAACAUUCUAGGGAAACAUGAAUCAAAUGCAUCCCAAAACGUAAUGGUAUCUAAAAGAAGAAGAAUAAGGAGGAAUAGAUAGGAAUUUGGAAGAAUUAGCUUGAUUAUUCCCUCAAG
rnacentral:misc_RNA from 1 species